GUAAUUAUAGUUUAAACAAAACAUUAGAUUGUGAGUCUAAUAAUAGAAGAUUAAUCUUCUUACUUACC
rnacentral:tRNA from 1 species